rnacentral:rRNA from 1 species
UACGUAGGGGGCGAGCGUUAUCCGGAAUUAUUGGGCGUAAAGCGCGCGCAGGCGGCCGGUUAAGUCAGGUGUGAAAGGCUGCGGCUCAACCGCAGAGCGGCACCUGAAACUGGUCGGCUUGAGUGCAGGAGAGGGGAGCGGAAUUCCCGGUGUAGCGGUGGAAUGCGUAGAGAUCGGGGAGGAACACCAGUGGCGAAGGCGGCUCACUGGACCGGAACUGACGCUGAGGCGCGAAAGCGUGGGGAGCAAACGGG